AUCACUUUCUACACGUAAAGCAUAAAAUAGAAACUGCAAACCCUUUUCUUUUACAAACCCUACUUUUCAAUUUCUAUAACUGAACUCUAAUGUACAUAACCACUUGCUCGCACCUCCGAUUUCCCCUUCAGUUUCCAGCUCCGGCCCUCAUCUCCGAUGAAGCUUCGUCCCUCACAGUCUCAAUAUCUAUCUAGAAGACAACGUGGAUAUAUUCAUCGAAAUUCGCAACUUCAUCUUGCCCGAUAAAUCGUUUUGGGAGAAAUUGACAACCAUAAUUGUCAUUCUUAACAACAAUUUACAGGGACACUUGUUGAAGCUUAAAGGGACUCUGAUGCUUACAAGCCCUGAAGAUGUGGCUGCCAUCGAGGCAUUGAGGUUAAAAAGUUCCGAAAAGAGCAAGUUGACCCUUGAUCAUAAUGCCUUUAGGAAGUUGCUAAUAGUGCUGUCUAAAGUAGGCAAAGUAUAUGCAUUGCAUACUGGAGAUGGACAUGUUGUUUGGUCCGUUUUUUUGCCUAUUUGCGAAAUUUCUUGAGCUGCCAAUUAUGCUGUGAAAAGUAUGUGAUCUACCAGUUAAUUAAGUUCGCUAUCAUUUAAAAUUGAUUGUUGGUUUUUUACUGUCAUCACCAAUUUCAACUCAUAUGAGUCCAUAGUCUUCUCUCUGUUCUUUUUUCUUCUAUACAUUCUUAUUGCUAACGAUCUGUUGUGAUUUACCAUUAAUUGCAUGCUCCCAUGAGGUACAGGCAACUCCGGAUCACAUUGAAAUAUGUGAUAAUCAUGAAGAAUGCGCUGCUCGUCGUGAGCAGAUCAAGUUGACAAAAGGUUUCGUAGCCAAGGAGCCAGUGAAAGGGCACAUGGCGAGUUCUUCUGUCGAAAGUUUAAAAUAUUUUAGUAAAUGUUAUUAAAGGACUCAAGAUGUACGAAAACAUAUUUACUGAUCCAGAACUUUGCAAGCUGAAUGACUUUUUUCAUGAACUCCGAGCUGCUGGUCAAAAUGGAGAACUCCUAGGUGGUACAUAUGUUUUGUUUAACAAACAGAUGAAGGCGAAUAAAAGGGAGCAAAUUCAGCUUGGUGUUCCAAUAUUUGGACAAAUAAAAGAUGACACUAUGUGAAUGAAUAAACUUGAAAUUAGUCAAAUUAAAUGCUCUUUUACUCAUUAUUUUUAGAUACUACUAUGUGAGUGAAUAAAUUUGGACAUCUAA